rnacentral:lncRNA from 1 species
CUAAGAUGAGCACGUAGAGCAGGGUUUAACUGGAUGGGUACAGCAGGCUGACUGCAAACCAUGCCAUGGCUCCAACCAGGGCAAAGCUGCUGGAUCUUUGGGCCCUGCGUGCUGGUACCAAAGAGCAGUGCUGAAACAAGCUCUCCAAUUUCCAAUGAGUGGAAGUUCUUGCUGCCCCGACUUUUCAGCUUCUGACCUAGCCCUGGCAAUCAGGCUUUUGAAACCUAGGCUUCCCACAGCAAGAAGUCUCAGAGGUCUUUGCUGGUGCGUUUCCAAAGCAGACGCCUGUUUAACAAGGAAUUGCAGCAGGGGAUGCCUGUUUGCUUCUCUCAGCUACUGAGGAGGAAAGAGGUGAGGGUUCUCGAGAGUAUUCAUUCUGAGUGCUGGACAAUGAGCCAUCCGGCAGGGUGUGGUGCGCAGACAUAAGGCAUGGGAGGAGAUCGUGGGGAAUGUUAGCAAGCCAAUAGACCUUUUCUUCCCCAAACUGGGCAACUGCAGUUUGAUUUGUUCCAGCUGUGGCAAAGGCACCUAGUGGUUUCAGUAGUGGGGCCAUCAACCCUUUGAGAUGGUUAUUUCAAACAUCGUGACAUUUUGUGACUUUGUAAAGAACACAGAGGUGUUG